rnacentral:lncRNA from 1 species
UCUUCUUGGCUCCGGGCAGGGUGCGUCGAUGGGAAACCCCCAAUCGGCUGGGUGAUUUUUUUUUUUUUUUUUUUUUUUUUGGAGCGGGGAGCUGUCCCUCGCAGCACCUGCCUCUCGUGUCUUCCUCUCCCGCUGCUGGACUGACGGGUGGGGCGAGGAAGGAGGGUGGAUGAGGCUUGAGCAAGCGUGGGUCGCUCGGCCUCAGAGGAAAUUCUCCCGGCUAGCCGAGGAGCCGCGUCCGGUGGUCCCCCGCGCCAUGCCGGCUCCGUUCGCUCCGAGCCCCUUCAGGCGCACCUGCCGACUUAGGGCUCCCGGAGCUCGCCGGCCGCGGAGGGCAGCACAGCCUCCACGCGGCGCCGCAGGCCUGGCACCGGCCGCGUCCCCGCCUCGCUCUUCUCGGCAGCCGCCUGGCACUUGCAACUAACUUCGCCCAAGUUUCCUGCGCCGCGGCUCCCCUCUCGGCGCGCUCCUGGGAGCGUGCGCCCGCAAGUCCGCCGCGCCCGGGGCCCCUCUGUCCUCGCUGCUGUGGCCAGAGCCGAGCCGGAGCAGGGGCGGAGGUGCUGGAGGAGAGUUAAGGAAAACGCGCCAUCCCCUCAGUUCGCAGGUCCGCGCUGUGGCACCUCCCGCUCUCCCCACUCCCGCGGCGCAGGGGGCCCCUUCCCAGCCCAGGCCGGCCUCUGCACCGGCUCAGGUUUAGGCGAGUGGAGAGUCCGGAGCGCGCCGCGGAGUCUGCGCACUGUUUGGCGUUGGCAACCCCUGGUGUCAUCCCGGCUACCCAGGCCGGCCUGGCGCGCAGCUGCCGUGGUUGCGGCCGUGGUUGCGGCCCUGGGAGCCUCGCCGGGAGGAAGAAGGCGGCGGGCACGAGUAGGAGAGCUUCUCCAACUACGGAGGAAGAGGGUUAAACCUGGGGAAGGGGAGACUCACCCUUGAAAAUGUUUGAGACUGUUCCUAGCAAGAAAGUGCUCAUUUUCCUUGGAGGUCCAGGUGUUGCUUGCAACAGAAACAGAUGCUUCUCGCAUUUUCUUGCACUGCUGAUGUACCCAGUCAGAGGUAGUGGAGUGAAAAAUAACUCUGGAGGGAAUAAGGACAUUCUUGGCAACCUUUCCGAAAAAGAGCUAGCCCAGGCUGAGAGUAUGCAUCCUUGACUGACUAUUCAGGUCUUUAAAAAUUCUGUGUUGUUUGUCUUUUGUUGUAAUCCUGGUCGCCAGAACGAUCUAUAUACUGAUCUCUUUAAGGUACAGUUAACUUACAGUGUCUCACUUACAUGCCCAGCUAAGGUAAAGGUGUUUAAAAUCAGUAAGUGUAAGUGGUUUCCCUGGAAGAGAGAAGUAAAACGUACCAAUCACUCAAUGCUGGAAUAUUUUUAUGCUAAGCAUAAUUUCCUUCUUUAGUAGUUAGAGCAGUUUUUUUAAAAAAAUAGUUAACACGAUGCAGAAGUCAAACAGCAUGAUUCUGUUUCCGUAUUUUCCUCACUUCUUGGUAUGCUGCGGCACACUUAGAACAUGAUCUGUCUGGAGGUUUUAUUCACAUGGUGGCCUGCCCUUCAGGGAGAACUUGCUUGCCUUCUUUCUUUGGCAGUUUGGAUUUGACCUAGCCCUGCGGUAUGUGCAAGUAGGAACAUCUACAAACGGUUAACUCUUUAAGUCUUCCCACGAUUUCUGUUCAGUUCAUUCACACACACACACAGACACAAAAGCUUUGAUUGUAAUUAUGAACGUGAAUUAAAACUGUUUCAGGCCAUCAGAUUUAUGUAAAAGUUAUGCUUGUUUUGUUCAUUUUAAUAAAAGAAUAGUGACUUAAAAAUUACAGUCAUGAUAACAAAACUGUGAACAGCAGUGGCAUCUAUGUGGGUUUGUGUUUUUCUGAAGAUGUCGUAUUGACAAAUGCUUAUUUUGUAUCAGUUAUGCCCUUGCAUUGUUAAAAUAAUUGGACUGAUUUCUCCAGAACCAUAUUCCUUUACAGGCUCUGUAAAGACACUCUUGUCAUUCACAGACUCUGGCUGGAGCAAUGUGAAAACACUAGCAUGUGUAAUUACAUAGACUGGAAUAUUAAAUAUACUGUUUUGUGAUGAUAAACUACAAAAUUAUCAUCCCCGAGCUUUUCACCUACUGACUUAUAGGUUUGAGACAAAAAUACUGUACACUGGCACAUAAAGAACAUAUGUAUAUAUAGGCCACAAGACAUGAAAGCUGUUAUUCACUAAAUAUUGUGAAUAAAGUUAAAUUUAAUCGUGAAAAUUAUUUUGACACAUAAAAAGGGAGAAGGAUUGUGAAAAUGUGUUUUAUAUUAGUGAGUUAAGUGAUUUUAUACUGUUCAAAUUUAAGUGUAAAAAUCUACUGCAAUAAAUUAUUACAUUAGAAAGAAAUGUUUGUAUAUAUGAUUGAAAUGUAUGCUUAUAUGUGCAAUGUCUUAUAGGAAUAAUAUACGUAAGGUUCCUUGGAUAUAGUUUUUCCAGUAUACCUUUACAAUAUUGUCUGUCUAGUGAUAUUAAAUGAGCCAAAUUUGAACACUCUCAAGUCCAAGAAUGUUGAAUUGUGGGAAACAAAGGUGUCAUAAGAAGAAAAUGACUAUUUGUGUGCUUGUCUAUUCACCAAAUGAAACUUCCCACAUUUCAAAAUAGGAAAGAUUUGGUUUUAGUUCUUGGCUUCCAGGGGAUCAAUAUUCUUGGCCUAACCCUUCACAACCAAAGAAAGAGCCCUCAUAAUCGGCCAUGCAUUAAAGAAAGGCAACGUGGCAUUGCUGUUAUUAACCAACCUUCACACCUCUUGCCUGAAUCUGGUUGAGCUUUUAACAAAGUAAAUUUUCAAGCCAUUUUCAUUCAUAUGUACCAAAAUGUAAAUUCACUAUUCAUAUCCUCAUAUCUUGUGUUUGAAUUGAUAGAGGUAUAUUUUUAUUCUUGCUCAGUUUUGUCCUAAAGAUGAAAAAAAUCCCAGCGUAUAGGAAAUGGAAUAGUCUGUGUGAGUGAUUAGUGAAGGAAAAUAAAUUGAAAGAGAAUUGUAAGUUUGAUGGGCUUUAUUUUGUCAACUCUUGAUUGUAAACACCUAAAGAACCGUGUAAUUUGAUCAGUAGAAGUCGUGUGGGUCUGUAUUUCCCUUGUGGCCACAGUGAUAUAUGUGAUCGCAAAUGUAUCUAAUCAGAAACUGAGUGACACUCCCUCAAAAAAAGUUGUGGGCCUGUGUAAAUUCAGUUUUCUCUUUUUUCCCUUCAAUACUCCCCAGAAAAUAGUCUCUUUUCAAUUCUAAAACUUUCACUAGGAGGCAGCAAUGAGAUUGUUGGGGAAUAAAAAAUACCUUGGCAACA